UACGUAGGGGGCGAGCGUUGUCCGGAAUUACUGGGCGUAAAGGGCGCGUAGGCGGUUUGACAAGUCUGAUGUGAAAUCUAUGGGCUCAACCCAUAGUCUGCAUUGGAAACUGUCGGGCUUGAGUAUGGGAGAGGUGAGUGGAAUUUCCGGUGUAGCGGUGAAAUGCGUAGAUAUCGGAAGGAACACCUGAGGCGAAAGCGGCUCACUGGACCAUAACUGACGCUGAGGCGCGAAAGCUAGGGGAGCAAACAGG
rnacentral:rRNA from 1 species